rnacentral:lncRNA from 1 species
CACCAUUGUAACACCCUAGUAUCACUCUACCAACCACCCAGAAUCACUCUAUCAUCAUCCUAAGCCUAGCAACCACCUAGAAACACCCUAGUAUCACCCUAGCAACAACCCAUAAAGAUCCUAGUAUCACCCUAGCAACCACCCAAACACACACCAGUAUCCCCCUAGCAACACCAUUGUAACACUCUAGUAUCACCCUAGCAACCACCCAGAAACACCCCAUUAACACCCUAGCAACCACCCAGAAACACCCCAAUAUCACCCUAGCAACACCCUUGUAUAGAGUUAGUUACGGUUAGACACCCUAGUAUCACCCAAACAACACCCUUGUAACACUCUAGUAUCACCCUAGCCUAACAACCACAUAUAAAUGCCCUAGUAUCAACCCUAGCAACCCACCCAGAAAAACCCUAGUAUCACCCUAGUAACCAUUCAGAAACACCCUAGCCUAGCAACCACCUAGAAACACCCAAGUAUCACCAUAGCAACCACCCAGAAACACACCAGUAUCACCCUAGCAACCACCUAGAAAAUCCUGUAUGAUGUGUAAGUGCUGUAUGUGUGUGUUUGUGUGAUUCUGUAAGGAUCCUGGACGGCCGUGAUCUGAUGCCUCUGUUGGAGGGCAGAACGAACCGCUCGCAGCACGAGUUCAUGUUCCACUACUGCGGCAUGUACCUGAACGCUGUACGCUGGCACCCUCCCGACAGUGACUCCGUCUUCAAGGUCCAUUCCUUCACACCAAACUUCUCUCCAGCGGCGGUUGGCAGAGGUGCUGGAGCGGGUCGAACGGGCCGUGACGGAGCACCGCAGAACUCUGACGCCGGUGGAGAGACAGCUGACGUGGGCAAAGGUCCUGUGGAAGCCGUGGCUGCAGCCCUGCUGCGGGACCUUCCCUUUCUGCUCCUGCGAGGAGAGCCACCACACGUCUGCAGGAGCAGAGUGAAGAACCCGACGCCACAGGAGAAAAACAUUCAAAAAGAUAACUGCAACUUGUUCUCUCACUUGCAAGUUUAUAUCCCACCGUUCAUCAUUUUUUCUUGCAAUUCUGACUUUUUUCCCUCAGAAUUGCAAGUUAUAAAACUGCAAUUGUGAGUUUUUAUAUAUUGCUAUUUUGACUUCAGGGUUUACAUCUCACAUUUCUG